CUCUUCCAAAAGCCGAGCAGGGACAUCUGUCAACGUGGGACCUCCAUGAUGAUCCAGUGUCAGGUGGAUAGCCAAGUCACCUUAAUGUUCUGGUACCGUCAGUUCCUGGGACAGAGCUUGGAACUGAUUGCAACUGCAAAUCAGGGCUCUGAGGCCACAUAUGAGAGCGGAUUUACCAAGGACAAGUUUCCCAUCAGCCGCCCAAACCUAACAUUCUCAACUCUGACUGUGAGCAACCUGAGCCCUGAAGACAGCAGCUUAUACCUCUGCAGCACUGGAGACACAGCACUAGGCACAAAUCAAAGACCUGAGCAAGAACCUCAGCUUCCUCCUACCCAGCUCCCACUCAGAUGA